AGCAGCCGCCGCGGUAAUACGUAGGUGGCAAGCGUUGGUCGGAAUUAUUGGGCGUAAAGGGUGCGUAGGCGGUUUCUUAAGUCUGAUGUGAAAGCCCCCGGCUCAACCGGGGAGGGUCAUUGGAAACUGGGAAACUUGAGUGCAGGAGAGGAGAGUGGAAUUCCACGUGUAGCGGUGAAAUGCGUAGAGAUGUGGAGGAACACCAGUGGCGAAGGCGACUCUCUGGUCUGUAAUUGACGCUGAGGAGCGAAAGCGUGGGGAGCGAACAGGAUUAGAGACCCCCGUAGUCCCUGUCUCUUAUAA
rnacentral:rRNA from 1 species